rnacentral:rRNA from 1 species
AAUAUUGGACAACGCAGUUAACCCUGAUCCAGCCAGGCCCCUGGCUUCAAGAAGAGCUUCUGAUCGUAAAGCACUUGAAUUUGGCAGAAAGGGCUUUAGGUUAAUACCCGAAAGUCGUGACGUUACCUACAGAAAAAGCACUGGCGAACUCUGUCCCGUCAGCCGCGGUAAUACAGAGGGUGCAAGCGUUAAGCGGAAUUACUGGGCGUAAAGCGCGCGUAGGUGGUUCAGUAAGAUGGAUGUGAAAUCCCCGGGCUUAACCUGGGAACUGCUUUCAUAACUGCUGAGCUAGAGUACGGUAGAGGGUAGUGGAAUUUCCUGUGUAGCGGUGAAAUGCGUAGAUAUAGGAAGCAACACCAGAGGCGAAGGCGACUACCUGGACUGAUACUGACACUGAGGUGCGAAAGCGUGGGGAGCAAACA